rnacentral:lncRNA from 1 species
AAUAAAAUGCAGUAAUGCCUUGUCUCAUUCACUGAGUACUAUAGUUGAACAAAUUACAUGUGAACCUCACAGAAAUAACAAUGCACUGUAAAGGACAUGAGAAACUUGAGGCCUAGAUUGGGUUCAGCUCACCUUCUAGCACAUGACGAACUCAUCUGGACAACAAUACACCUAACUUGAAUUACUUUUUAUUCUUCCCACACUUUGGGUGCCUGUAAUCAAAGCACACGCCCAAGAAAAUUCUAUAUGAAAACAUUGCAAAAAGGCUAUGGUACAGGUUAGCAAGUAAUCCUAUGCAUAACUGAGGGAAUUACAGAAAAACAGAUUCAGAAAAAGGGAAGUGAAUGUGCAAACCUCAUUCAGGUUGCUCUCCUCGCCGAGUUGCUUCAAAGUAGGAGGAACAGCUCGGCAAGAUUAUGGAGGAAGAGGUUUCCAAUCCUCACGCUCCUGUAGCCCACGUCCUCAUCGAUGAUACGAAGAGGAGAGACGAGCUGCUCUUUCCGCCGACGUCAUCUCUCUCUACUCAGUGCCACCGC